UAACUUAGAGGCAUGAGAAAGCUUAAGAACAUUUGUCCUGAAUGCAGUAGGGAUUGAAAUACGAUCCUAGAAUCUACACAAAGCCUCAUCGUUGAGCCUGAAAUCAGGAAAUUCGUCAAAAGUAAACUUACUUAGGUUCUGACUUAUCAUGGGAUUAGUGGACUAAGCUUCUCAAAAUUUCAUAAAAAGAUCAGGCAAGGCCCAAAUUUGGGUGAGGUAGGCACCAUUGCCAUAAAGAUUAAGGUGGAGUG
rnacentral:lncRNA from 1 species